rnacentral:rRNA from 1 species
UACGUAGGUGGCGAGCGUUGUCCGGAUUUACUGGGCGUAAAGAGCGCGCAGGCGGUCGUUCAAGUCGCGUGUGAAAGCCCCCGGCUCAACUGGGGAGGGUCACGCGAUACUGAUCGACUCGAAGGCAGGAGAGGGUAGUGGAAUUCCCGGUGUAGUGGUGAAAUGCGUAGAUAUCAGGAGGAACACCGGUGGCGAAGGCGCUCAUCUGGCCCAAUACUGACGCUGAGGCGCGAAAGCUAGGGGAGCAAACGGG